AGUGAACGCUGGCGGUGGGCCUAACACAUGCAAGUCGAACGGCAGCACAGUAAGAGCUUGCUCUUACGGGUGGCGAGUGGCGGACGGGUGAGGAAUACAUCGGAAUCUACUUUUUCGUGGGGGAUAACGUAGGGAAACUUACGCUAAUACCGCAUACGACCUACGGGUGAAAGCAGGGGAUCUUCGGACCUUGCGCGAUUGAAUGAGCCGAUGUCGGAUUAGCUAGUUGGCGGGGUAAAGGCCCACCAAGGCGACGAUCCGUAGCUGGUCUGAGAGGAUGAUCAGCCACACUGGAACUGAGACACGGUCCAGACUCCUACGGGAGGCAGCAGUGGGGAAUAUUGGACAAUGGGCGCAAGCCUGAUCCAGCCAUACCGCGUGGGUGAAGAAGGCCUUCGGGUUGUAAAGCCCUCUUGUUGGGAAAGAAAAGCAGCAGGUUAAUACCCCGCUGUUCUGACGGUACCCAAAGAAUAAGCACCGGCUAACUUCGUG
rnacentral:rRNA from 1 species